CUGGAAUUUUAGAGAUCUAAUGUUUGCUGAGGCCUCUCUGAGACCAGUAGUCCCAGCAAAAACCUCUGUAUAGCUAGCUGUUGAACUUGCCUUGAUGGAGAAACAAGCCAGCAUGCUGGGUUAUUCCCAUCUGGGCAAGGGGGCUCAUGAAGUGUUGUCUCAGGAGCUGUCCAACCAUCUCUGCACAAUGCUGAGGAGAGAGGAGUUUUUAAUAAAUAACAUUUUACUGAGCUUCACAGCUGCUUCAUCUAUGAAGUCUGGCUGAUCCUGACUUCCUGUACAAGGCAUUGAGAGGAACAGAAACUGGGAAAUUCAUACAAGUCAGUAACAUGAAUGUUGAAGCCAUUGCUAAUUAACUGGAGGAUACAGUGUUGGACAAAACCUCUGGAUCCUGAACAAUAGCCAAGCUCUGUAAUACUAGAACUGAGGUUGAUAGGAGCUGUGUUGCCUGCCUGGAAAUAGACAAAUGAAAAGAUGAAGUGCUACUGAAAAUAUUAGAAAUUAAAAGAGAAAAUAUGUUCCCUUCUUUCUGGUUGCAUAUAGCAAUUGCAGCAGAAGCACUGGGAAGGAGACAACUGAAUCCUCCAUAUACUGAGAUCUGAAGGACUGUGUUGGAUUCGGCUAUGGGUAAAGAAAGGCAAAUACAGACUUGAUGGAAACUAUUCACCCUUACCCAGGACCAUUCUGAGCUAAGUGAUUGCCUGGUGUAUCAUUUUAGAUCAAUCUGCAGAGGAAUAAGAAAACAGCUUUAACUUAUGUAUGAAAACGAUAUGUGUGUUUCAGAACAAUGUGUAAAUAUGAUCUAAUUAAUGACAUUUCUAAUUAAACUGUGUUUACUGACUCCAAUGUAGUUGUUAGUGGAUGACUUUUUUCUAUAAACCACCUGCGUUUUCUAGUUUACUCAUUAAAAACCGUACCUUGUAUCAAAAUAUAACCCCAAAUGCAGCUGAUAUGAAGUUGUCUCAUGUAGAAGAGAUACUAGAAAGUUCAAAAUUUCAGUGACUAUUAGAAAUGCUAUGAAAGCAGCCAGAUGCUGCUUUUUAGUCUUGAUAAUUGUAUAUCACAGUGGCAGAUAGUACCAUGAAUCAAAAGAAGGAAGAAUACUACUAGUGCAGUUUUCUUUGGGUGGUCCCAUACAGCUGCUGGAAUCUUAAAUAUAUCAUUGUAGCAUCUUGCUGCAGUUUUACUAACAGUGUUAACAGUGUUAAUAAUGCUAAUGAUAUACUAAUUAUUUGUGCCUACUGAUGUAAAAACGGUUUGUUAAUGUCUGAGGCAAGCAGUGUGCCAAAAGGACAGCCAGUUGCAUGGCCCAAGAGUGGAGAGCUGCCUCUUGCCUUAGUCAAAGAUGAGGUCUUUGUCUCGGCCGCAGUGAAGCGUAGACUUCACUAACCAUCAUCUAUUAAGCCUUAAAUAGCACAGAUACCUGCUGCAGUAGUCCUUGCUGUGGAUAAUGGUUUCAUUUAUUACAAGAGGGUCUGUGGGCCAAGCAGAUGGUACCUUACGUGGGCUAUAGUUAUCACAAAAAACUUUUUUUCUUGAACAUUUUUCUCUUGCAGAAUCAAGAGUAGAUACUGACACAGGGGAGAUCUGGGGAAAAUGUCCUUGAAUAUAUAAAGUAAUGUAACAUCUGAGAGAGGGAAAGCAACUGCUGAAAUAAGCCUCCAAGAAAGAAAUGGAAUUAAAGUUAAAAGGCAACCAGAAAAAAAGCAGCGAAUGCUUUCAACUUAAAGGAAAAGAAUCCGCCUGAGUCCAUGCAGGUGGCCAUUGCCAGCCCACCAAGACUUGCAGGGUGUUUGAGUAAGAGACGGGUAAGACUGUGCUACAAAGCAGUGCUUGGCUUUGUACAGUUGUGAAUCUAUCUUAUGAAAUUUAUGUCUCUGUCUUGGGUGUGAAGUGCCCACUAUCCAGAUUUAGCAACAAGUGCUGAUCCUGCUCUUAUAAACAUUUGGGUCUGUGGAAAAAUACAGGCAAAACAGCAUGUCACCUCAAAACCUAUAAUGUGUUAUCUCUGCAAACUUUUGUGAAAAUAAACAAGAGAUUGAAAGUGGCAUGAGUUUGCAGCAGAGAAUACAUUCAUUUCAAUUGAUGUGUUGGGAAUGGGCAGUUUAUAGUAAUGAAGCAUUAACUUAAUAAGUACAAAAAGUCAUUAUUGCAAUUCCUUCUAUUUAAUUGUUUUUUUUUUCUCUGCUAUUGGUUUGACAGUCUCUGAUUUACUCUUGGUAUUUUGUUCGAUCUUGAAUAUGUGGACAUUAUACCCAUUGCUGUGCAUUUUUCUCUUUCCUUUAGCCUGUUAAUUUUCCAUUCUUUUAGACCAAUUUCUUCCAUGUGUUUUUGAGCAUGGGUUUUCUGCAAGUUUCUUCUUUGAAAGGUAAUUUAGGGCUUUCAUACUGAAAGUUCAGGUUUAUUGCUUUAAAAAGGCCUUGUUAU
ensembl:lncRNA